CGUCACGGGGCCACAAGGAGGCUGUGGUCCGGCUGGUUCGGUGCGACCGGACCUCAUCCAGGUACCUCCUGAGGGGGCACGGCUGGACAGCAGGAACACGCCUCGGGAGGAUCUUCCCCACGGCCCUGUGGCGGCGGGGUACUCACAUCUGCUGUAACGAUCUCCACCAGCACCUACUUCGAUGGCCUGCUGGUCACGGGACUCUACACCUCCAACACUCUCCAGUCAGCUCCCAUUCCCGCCCCAGCAGCCUUUGGAUUCGGUAAGUCCCACUGGCAUCACUGAUCAUCAUCUCCUUA
rnacentral:lncRNA from 1 species